rnacentral:rRNA from 1 species
GUGUCAGCAGCCGCGGUAAUACGUAGGUGGCAAGCGUUGUCCGGAUUUACUGGGCGUAAAGGGUGCGCAGGCGGACAUUUAAGUGAGAUGUGAAAGACCCGGGCUUAACUUGGGCAGUGCAUUUCAAACUGGAUGUCUGGAGUGCAGGAGAGGAGAACGGAAUUCCUAGUGUAGCGGUGAAAUGCGUAGAGAUUAGGAAGAACACCAGUGGCGAAGGCGGUGCACUGGACUGUAACUGACACUG